UAACACGUAAGCAACCUGCCUAUCAGAGGGGAAUAACAGUGAGAAAUCAUUGCUAAUACCGCAUAAGCUAGUAGUAUCACAUGAUACAGCUAGAAAAGGAGUAAUCCGCUGAUAGAUGGGCUUGCGCCUGAUUAGCUAGUUGGUGGGGUAACGGCCUACCAAGGCGACGAUCAGUAGCCGAACUGAGAGGUUGAACGGCCACAUUGGGACUGAGAUACGGCCCAGACUCCUACGGGAGGCAGCAGUCGGGAAUAUUGCGCAAUGGAGGAAACUCUGACGCAGUGACGCCGCGUAUAGGAAGAAGGUUUUCGGAUUGUAAACUAUUGUCGUGAGGGAAGAAGAUGACAGUACCUCAGGAGGAAGCUCCGGCUAACUAUGUGCCAGCAGCCGCGGUAAUACAUAGGGAGCAAGCGUUAUCCGGAAUUAUUGGGUGUAAAGGGUGCGUAGACGGGAAAUUAAGUUAGUUGUGAAAUCCCUUGGCUUAACUGAGGAACUGCAACUAAAACUGAUUUUCUUGAGUACUGGAGAGGAAAGUGGAAUUCCUAGUGUAGCGGUGAAAUGCGUAGAUAUUAGGAGGAACACCAGUGGCGAAGGCGACUUUCUGGACAGUAACUGACGUUGAGGCACGAAAGUGUGGGGAGCAAACAGGAUUAGAUACCCUGGUAGUCCACACUGUAAACGAUGG
rnacentral:rRNA from 1 species